rnacentral:rRNA from 1 species
UACGUAGGGAGCAAGCGUUGUCCGGAAUCAUUGGGCGUAAAGCGCGUAGGUGGCCUCGUAAGUCCGCUGUGAAAGUCAAAGGCUCAACCUUUGAAAGCCGGUGGAUACUGUGAGGCUAGAGUACGGAAGAGGCGAGUGGAAUUCCUGGUGUAGCGGUGGAAUGCGCAGAUAUCAGGAGGAACACCAAUAGCGAAGGCAGCUCGCUGGGACGUUACUGACACUGAGGCGCGAAAGCGUGGGGAGCGAACAGG